rnacentral:rRNA from 1 species
ACUCGUCUAGUUAGCAAUUAUACAGCGAAACUGCGAAUGGCUCAUUAUAUAAGUUAUCGUUUAUUUGAUAGUACCUUACUACUUGGAUAACCGUGGUAAUUCUAGAGCUAAUACAUGCUAAAAAUCCCGACUUCGGAAGGGAUGUAUUUAUUAGAUUAAAAACCAAUGCCCUUCGGGGCUCACUGGUGAUUCAUAAUAACUUCUCGAAUCGCAUGGCCUUGCGCCGGCGAUGGUUCAUUCAAAUUUCUUCCCUAUCAACUUUCGAUGCUAGAGUAGUGUUCUAGCAUGGUUACAACGGGUAACGGAGGGUUAGGGCUCGACCCCGGAGAAGGAGCCUGAGAAACGGCUACUACAUCCAAGGAAGGCAGCAGGCGCGCAAAUUACCCAAUCCCGACACGGGGAGGUAGUGACGAUAAAUACUGAUACAGGGCUCUUUUGGGUCUUGUAAUUGGAAUGAGUACAAUUUAAAUCCCUUAACGAGGAACAAUUGGAGGGCAAGUCUGGUGCCAGCAGCCGCGGUAAUUCCAGCUCCAAUAGCGUAUAUUAAAGUUGUUGUGGUUAAAAAGCUCGUAGUAGAACCUUGGGCCUGGCUGACCGGUCCGCCUCACCGCGUGUACUGGUCCGGCCGGGCUCCCACCAUAGUCUAACCGCAUGCCCUUCACUGGGUGUGUUGGCGAAACUAUAUUUUUACUUUGAAAAAAUUAGAGUGCUCCAGGCAGGCCUAUGCUCGAAUACAUUAGCAUGGAAUAAUAGAAUAGGACGUGUGGUUCUAUUUUGUUGGUUUCUAGGACCGCCGUAAUGAUUAAUAGGGACAGUCGGGGGCAUCAGUAUUCAAUUGUCAGAGGUGAAAUUCUUGGAUUUAUUGAAGACUAACUACUGCGAAAGCAUUUGCCAAGGAUGUUUUCAUUUAUCAGGAACGAAAGUUAGGGGAUCGAAGACGAUCAGAUACCGUCGUAGUCUUAACAUAAACUAUGCCGACAAGGGAUCGGACGAUGUAAUUUUUGACUCGUUCGGCACUUACGAAAAUCAAAGGGUUGGGGC